CUAGGAGACGGAAGGGCUAUACUUCCAUCAUCUCCAUACUUGCUGGGAGAUUGAGUAAUUGGUCUCUGGAUGUGCGUGUGCUGCUUCCCAAAAUAUCUCUUUAAAAAGAUGUGAGAGGGAUGCGGAGCCAGUAGGGUGAGCCUUCAGCUUCUACAUUUUUCAAAGUUAUCCAAGGUGAUUCUGACCCACAACAAAAUCUGAGAGGAACUGCUCUAAUAUUUAUCUUGCCAGAAAAAUAAGAUCAUGUGAAGAGAACACUCAUCUCAAUUCAAGGAAGAAAGCUUUGAGAUUUCCAAGGAAGAUGGAAGAUUGAACAGGUGCACAGAGCCUCCCAUCUUGUUCUGAAUACAUACAUAUGCUGGAUAAAUUAUAACAGAAUGAGAAAAAAGAAAAAAAAUAUCCGCAAGCCAAAUGAAACUGAAAGCUAAAUUAAAGUCUUGGAGCCCCCAGGCCCAGUUGUGU